rnacentral:lncRNA from 1 species
ACCCAAUCCACCCUCCACAGUCCAAAAUGCACUGUAGAGCAGAAGGAGACAACCUAACCCCACGUUGGAUGAAAGCAAUAUAUACAUACGCAUAUAUCAAUUAUCAUAUAUGUAGAGAGAGGGUGAGAGCAACGAAUCAAGGCGAAUAAUAAGCUGUUUCUUGGGAUACUGAGCGGCGUUUUGUUCACUCCCUCCCCUUUGAAAUGUUUACGUACUCUCUUUACAUUUUUGCUUAAUGGAAGCUGGUAUUCCGGCGCCAAUGUAACCGUCACAGCUUUCAAUUAGCCUUUCAAUUGAAUUUAUAUGCUGGGUUUUUCCAUUUGUAGUAUUUAAUGCUUUUAAUACUGUGUAAUGAGGAGUAUUCAGUUCGUACAUAAAGGAGUGUAAGAAGGUGUAUUAUAUUGUGUUUAUAUUAGCCAUUAUCAAUUAUAAACUUUGAUUGUGGAUUUAAAGAUCAGUUUCUUUAUCAAAACAAGAGGAGCUUUAAUCAUGGCAAGGUCAUUUUCUCAGCCGAAAAGCAGUUCUCCAUCUGAAGGUUAAACAUUUAAAUUGAUCAUCGUUAUUUUUUUUUAUUUGGUUAUCCCAA